rnacentral:tRNA from 1 species
UCAUUGGUGAUUCGGUGGUAGAAUUCUUGCCUUCCAUGCAGGAGACCCAGGCUUAAUUCCCAGCUAAUGCA